rnacentral:rRNA from 1 species
CCUACGGGAGGCAGCAGUGAGGAAUAUUGGUCAAUGGACGAGAGUCUGAACCAGCCAAGUAGCGUGAAGGAUGACUGCCCUAUGGGUUGUAAACUUCUUUUAUAUGGGAAUAAAAUGUUCCACGUGUGGGAUUUUGUAUGUACCAUAUGAAUAAGGAUCGGCUAACUCCGUGCCAGCAGCCGCGGUAAUACGGAGGAUCCGAGCGUUAGCCGGAUUUAUUGGGUUUAAAGGGAGCGUAGGUGGAUUGUUAAGUCAGUUGUGAAAGUUUGCGGCUCAACCGUAAAAUUGCAGUUGAAACUGGCAGUCUUGAGUACAGUAGAGGUGAGCGGAAUUCGUGGUGUAGCGGUGAAAUGCUUAGAUAUCACGAAGAACUCCGAUUGCGAAGGCAGUUCACUGGACUGCAACUGACAGUGAGGCUCGAAAGUGUGGGUAUCAAACAGGAUUAGAUACCCCAGUAGUC